rnacentral:lncRNA from 1 species
CCCUGCUCCUGCCCUAGUGAGCCAAAGUUCUUGCUGUCUUGAUGAUUUGCAACUCUCUGCAUGACUCUGCCUCUUGGGUUUGUUUAAUUAGAAAUAGGCUGGGAAGUGCUUCCUAUGCUCUGGCAUGUUAAUUGCUUAUCAGAGAAGGAGAAGGGGUGACGGCAUUUGGUGAUGGAAAUUUCCGCUCUCCCCAUCUCAGCCUGGCAGUGUUGCCCAGGAGGAGGCAG